GCACGGGUGCGUAACGCGUAUGCAACCUACCUCUUACAGGGGAAUAGCCCAGGGAAACUUGGAUUAAUGCCCCAUGGUAUCCCGCCGCCUCAUGGCAGGCGGGAUUAAAGAUUCAUCGGUAAGAGAUGGGCAUGCGUCCUAUUAGCUAGUUGGUGCGGUAACGGCGCACCAAGGCUACGAUAGGUAGGGGCCCUGAGAGGGGGAUCCCCCACACUGGUACUGAGACACGGACCAGACUCCUACGGGAGGCAGCAGUGAGGAAUAUUGGACAAUGGGCGAGAGCCUGAUCCAGCCAUGCCGCGUGCAGGAAGACUGCCCUAUGGGUUGUAAACUGCUUUGUACGGGAAGAACCGUGCCCACGCGUGGGCACUUGACGGUACCGUAAGAAUAAGGAUCGGCUAACUCCGUGCCAGCAGCCGCGGUAAUACGGAGGAUCCGAGCGUUAUCCGGAAUCAUUGGGUUUAAAGGGUCCGUAGGUGGGCUGUUAAGUCAGGGGUGAAAGUCUGCGGCUCAACCGUAGAAUUGCCUUUGAUACUGGCGGCCUUGAGUGGUUGUGAAGUGGCUGGAAUAUGUGGUGUAGCGGUGAAAUGCAUAGAUAUCACAUAGAACACCGAUUGCGAAGGCAGGUCACUAACAACGCACUGACACUGAUGGGACGAAAGCGUGGGGAGCGAACAGGAUAGAUACCCUGGUAGUCCACGCCGUAAACGA
rnacentral:rRNA from 1 species